rnacentral:rRNA from 1 species
UAACGGCGUCGAGCGGCGGACGGGUGAGUAAUGCCUAGGAAAUUGCCCUGAUGUGGGGGAUAACCAUUGGAAACGAUGGCUAAUACCGCAUAACGCCUACGGGCCAAAGAGGGGGACCUUCGGGCCUCUCGCGUCAGGAUAUGCCUAGGUGGGAUUAGCUAGUUGGUGAGGUAAGGGCUCACCAAGGCGACGAUCCCUAGCUGGUCUGAGAGGAUGAUCAGCCACACUGGAACUGAGACACGGUCCAGACUCCUACGGGAGGCAGCAGUGGGGAAUAUUGCACAAUGGGCGCAAGCCUGAUGCAGCCAUGCCGCGUGUGUG